AUCGAGGAGGCUUAGUUCUUCACAAACAGAUAAUAAGGAGUUAAAAGUUGAACCUUCUGAAUCACUUCCAUCUGGUUUUAUCACGCGUAGCGCUCUUAUUAAACUCUCAGAAAAACUUAAUUCCACUAAGAAGGUAUAUGAUUUCAAAGCUUUUGAAGGACCUCCAACGCGUUGUUUAAUAUGUCAUAGUACUUCUCACUUAUGGAACGAUUGUACUACACCAGUUUUAAAUGAUCUUUUGAGUAAACUUACUUAUAAAGGAAAAGUUCCUAUUCCUCGAGCCGGUAUGACAGUUGAGAAGUUUUUAAAGAAUAUUGCUAGAGGAGCUGAAACUACAAUACCUUUGUUUAAAAAUUGGGAUGAAUUAAUGUUAUCGACGAGAGAAUCACUCAAAAUUUUAAAUGUAUCCGUUUCCAACCGGCGAUACAUUUUGGAGUGGAUUCACAGAUACAAAUUUGGUAUUGAACCUCGUGCUCUUCGUCUGCCUAGAAAAUUCCGGAAAACUAAAAGUUCCAAUAAAAAGAAAUCUUCACCAGUUAAGAAUAAAAAU